AAGUACUCGCCCUGUCUCAGUA
rnacentral:miRNA from 1 species